rnacentral:tRNA from 1 species
GGGGCCGUCGUCUAGCCUGGACUAGGAUGCCAGCCUGGGGCGCUGGUGAGCCCGGGUUCAAAUCCCGGCGGCCCCA